rnacentral:lncRNA from 1 species
CUGGAGUAGGAGGAGGAUCAAUCUAAAAGAUAUCGAAGCUGGAACGGGAUUGGAAGCAAAGGUACUUUCUUAUUUGGCAGACGUUUCGUGGCUUAUUCGCGAGAGAGAACAGAGACAAGAUGCCAACGGGGGUGAAAUAACGCAAAAAUUGCUAUCGCAGGUUUUAGAGCUGGACUAUGAAAUCAAUGCACACCUCAAUGAAUCAGAAAGGGAGCGAGAUGAGAUUUUCAAAGCUUACUAUUCGCAAGGCCGGCCUGAGAUUCACA